UAUGUUUUGACAUAUACAACAUUGGGAGCAUGUAGAGAUGGUCCCUACUCAGAAAAUUUACUGAUUACUGAGUGAAUUGAAGCAUUAAAGACUGUGAUUACUUACAGCACAAGAUGGAAAAAGAUAUCAUCUGAGAGAAGCUGAGUUGGACAAAAGGAAUAACAUAAAAUUGUAGGUGCUGGUUAAUAAGGCACACUGCAUGACAGGAAAUUCCAGAAUCUUAUAUUUCUCAAGUUUUCCCCCCAAAGUCUUCAGUUCUAUAACAUAGUGAAAUUGUUUAAUGACUUUGUGGUAACAGACGUGGACUAGGACUGUACCUGGAAAAUGGGAGGUCAGAGGAAUGUCUUUCUCAAGAGCACCUGUUGGGAGAGGUACCUCCAGAACAUUCUUGCUUCUGCUGUGCUGAA